rnacentral:rRNA from 1 species
AGAAUCAUUCGCAAUGGGCGGAAGCCUGACGGUGCGACGUCGCGUGGAGGAUGGAGGUCUUCGGAUUGUAAACUCCUUUUGUGAGGGAUAAACGGGCCGGUGGCGAACAGCCACUGGCAGUGAUAGUACCUCAAGAAUAAGAGACGGCUAACUCUGUGCCAGCAGCCGCGGUAAUACAGAGGUCUCGAGCGUUGUUCGGAUUUACUGGGCGUAAAGGGAGCGUAGGCGGCCGGGUGUGUCGAAUGUGAAAUCCCGCAACUCAACGGCGGAACGGCAUUCGAAACUGCCUGGCUGGAGUACCGGAGAGGAAGGCGGAAUUCUUGGUGUAGCGGUGAAAUGCGUAGAUAUCAAGAAGAACACCGAUGGCGAAGGCAGCCUUCUGGACGGAUACUGACGCUGAGGCUCGAAAGUCAGGGGAGCAAACA